AGGAAUGUCUGCCUCAGGAAGCCCACCCAGGCUCCACAUCCCACCAGGUCCCCAACACCCCGCCCACCACCACCAUCAUCACACAUGACCACGCUCGGGUAGGGAAGAGCCGAGAAGGAGAGGUUUUAGAGGGGCUGAUUCCUCCUAAGUGCAGGGGAGAGAGAGCUUUGUAUUGGCUCAGAGUGGUCCCCAAGCACAGGAGUUUGGGGGAGUACUAGGCUCAAAGAAAGGAGAGCCAGUACCAAGCUCAGCUUCCAAAUGCUUCCCCAGUCUUGGAGGAGGAAGAGCUAUAUGAACCAUGCAGUGGGUCCUGUGAUUGACUGCUGUGUGGCUCUGGACAAGUAGGUUCACCUGGGUACCGGGUCUGGCAGGAAUGAAUGGGAGGACCCAGGAAGAGACACAUCAGAAUCAAGUGCUACCUCCCAAGAAAGGCACUCCCAGGACACCUGCAGUGAUGCUGGGUGCUACCGUGACCACACAGGAAUGGCCCGGCCACAGAGACACAGCACAGACUGCUGGAAUGUACUCCCUGGUUUAACCUGAGGAUCACACAGACCGCUGUUGUUGCCUGUAAACAGCAAUGGCAUCUGGAACAGCAACAAAAGCUACUGCCCAAGGGGUGAAUCGGUUCUGAGCCCAACAGGUUCUAAAGUAGUCAUUCCAGCAAACCCUCUUAGAGGCACAGAGAAGGUAGAUACCCAGCCUAAGGUCAUACAGCUGGGGUGAGGAGGAGGUCCCAGGUCUCCGCAACAGUUAGGUACUAUGGGGCGCUACCAAAUGGAGUGUUCUGGGAAGGGUGUCUCUGCCUGGGAUACUCACAUAGACGACAUUCCCAAACCCCCUUUUGGGUCCCCAAAAUGCUCUGUAGUCACCCAGCUUGGGGUUCCCCUCCCCUCUAGGGCUUGGCUCUGCUCAGCCCAGUUCCAGAGCCAAUUUGCAAUUGCAUAAUGAACAAUUAGGGACAAGCUUUCUUCUCUUCCAAAGGAGCAAUCAGCCUGGUGGCAAAGGACAGAGCAGAGAGAGCCCAGGAAACUUGUCCCCUCCCUCGUCCCUGCCAAGAUGGAGAGCCCCCUCUCCUGACCCAGCCUAGCUGGAAAAAUCAGGGCUCACUAGAGUGUCACCCCCUCCCUUCUCAUCUGCCUCCUGUCUCGGCUCUAGGAAGGCAUCCUGACAAAGCUGGCCCAUGACUUUCCUGUGAUGCUGUGUUUCCAAUGUCAUCAGGCUGUCUGGUUGGUGACACCUGGCCUGUCCCCCGUAAUUACUAUCUAGGCACCAUGCUGAGAGUUAACAUUAUACUUGCUAAUUCUACAUCUAACAGCCAAUCCAUCACUCCACAGCAAACACACAGCUAGCAAACAAGGCAGCUUAUGCUGCAAGCAAGGGACUCUCCUCAUCGACUCUCCUCAUCAGGGUUCUGUCACUGAACUGGUCCUAACCUCUGCAGUUCCCUCUGGGUCAGCCCCAGAACAAGAGUCUCCUCAACUCCCAAUUCCCAGUAGUCUCCUAGGCCAAAGGUGACUAGCCAGCUAGCUCCACUCAACCUAACAACUUCCACAACACUUCAGAGAGUGCUGCACACCGACUUCUAGGCCACCAGGGCACACCGGCGUCACUCGAGGUAAAGAAAGGCACUGGCAGCUGGCCUCUGGUUUGCCUCUGUCCUCCACUGAACUGACAAGUGUCCGGAUGUUUACCCAAGAUGGUCCAGGGCUCCCUGCCUGUCCAGGACAGGCUGUAUAAACACAUGCAGUCCCAUGGCGCCUGCUCUGUCUUCCCACGAACACACUACUCACCUCCAGGCUGGCCUCAUUCUUGCGGUGAGCCUCCCCCACUCAGACACUCUGCCUAUGGACACCUGCUGUAUCCCACUGGUACCUGCAAGAUGUCCUGACCAGGUCCACGAUCAUCUCAGAAAAGGAUGAAGUGAGAGAGCUGAGCUCUGCCGAGGAGCCAAAGGCUGGAAGGUUCUGCCUCCACGUUUAUAAAGUGGGGAAUGGGGGGGGGGACAACAGAGCUAGCCCCAGAGAAUGGUGACAUUGAAAUGGCGUAAUAUGGCAAAAGAACUCCAAACAGUGCCUGGCUCAAGGAAGGAGCCAGAGAGAUAAGAGCAAACAAAAUGUAUUCUUGCUUCUUGAGAAGAUCGGAUGGCCCAGAAGUCACCCAGUCACAGAGAACACAUUCUAAGUCCAAAUAAAAACUUACAGCU
rnacentral:lncRNA from 1 species